CAACUCCCAAACCCCUGUGAACAUACCUGAACGUUGCCUCGGCGGGACCGCCCCGGCGCCCCAGCGGCCCGGAACCAGGCGCCCGCCGGAGGACCCAAACUCUUGCUUUGAACAGUGGCAUACUCUCUGAGUCUCACAAACAAAAAUAAAUCAAAACUUUCAACAACGGAUCUCUUGGCUCUGGCAUCGAUGAAGAACGCAGCGAAAUGCGAUAAGUAAUGUGAAUUGCAGAAUUCAGUGAAUCAUCGAAUCUUUGAACGCACAUUGCGCCCGCCAGCAUUCUGGCGGGCAUGCCUGUCCGAGCGUCAUUUCAACCCUCAGGGAACCCCUCCGGGGGGGACCUGGUGUUGGGGGCCGGCCGCCCGCGCCGCCCCCGAAAUGCAGUGGCGACCUCGCCGCAGCCUCCCCUGCGUAGUAGCACAACCUCGCACCGGAGCGCGGAGACGGUCACGCCGUAAAACGCCCAACUCUCAAGAGUUGACCUCGGAUCAGGUAGGAAUACCCGC
rnacentral:rRNA from 1 species